rnacentral:rRNA from 1 species
GAUGAACGCUGGCGGCGUGCUUAACACAUGCAAGUCGAGCGAAGCGGCUGAAUUGAUUCUUCGGAUGAUUUUCAGUUGACUGAGCGGCGGACGGGUGAGUAACGCGUGGGUGACCUGCCCCAUACCGGGGGAUAACAGCUGGAAACGGCUGCUAAUACCGCAUAAGCGCACAGAGCUGCAUGGCUCGGUGUGAAAAACUCCGGUGGUAUGGGAUGGGCCCGCGUCUGAUUAGGCAGUUGGCGGGGUAACGGCCCACCAAACCGACGAUCAGUAGCCGGCCUGAGAGGGCGACCGGCCACAUUGGGACUGAGACACGGCCCAAACUCCUACGGGAGGCAGCAGUGGGGAAUAUUGCACAAUGGGGGAAACCCUGAUGCAGCGACGCCGCGUGAGCGAAGAAGUAUUUCGGUAUGUAAAGCUCUAUCAGCAGGGAA